ACGCUGGCGGUAGGCUUAACACAUGCAAGUCGAGCGAGAAAGUACCUUCGGGUACGAGUAGAGCGGCGGACGGGUGAGUAACGCGUAGGAAUCUACCUAGUAGAAGGGGAUAGCCCGAGGAAACUCGGAUUAAUACCGUAUACCUCCUUAGGGAGAAAGAGGGCUUAGCUUUGAUGCUCUCGCUAUUAGAUGAGCCUGCGUAAGAUUAGCUUGUUGGUGAGGUAAUGGCUCACCAAGGCGACGAUCUUUAGCUGGUCUGAGAGGACGAUCAGCCACAUUGGGACUGAGACACGGCCCAGACUCCUACGGGAGGCAGCAGUGGGGAAUAUUGGACAAUGGGCGCAAGCCUGAUCCAGCCAUACCGCGUGUGUGAAGAAGGCUUUCGGGUUGUAAAGCACUUUAAGUAAGGAGGAAAAGGUUAUAGAUAAUACCUGUAACCCGUGACGUUACUUACAGAAUAAGGACCGGC
rnacentral:rRNA from 1 species